rnacentral:rRNA from 1 species
CUGAUGCCAGACAAUCACCGCGUGUGUGAAGAAGAGCCUGAGAGGUUGUAAAGCACUUUUAAUCGGGAGGAACACCUGUCAGCGAAUACCUGGCAGUAUGACAUUACCGAUAGAAAAAGCACCGGCUAACUCCGUG